UCAAUAAAGAAGCGGACACUCAUAAUGGGCUGAGCGAGCAAAGGAACGUAUUUGGUGUUGCCGGUCGGAUAACUACAAGUGGGUAAACCCCCAAUUAGCAGCAGGUCCCAGGAACUUUGCGCUCUCUUCUCUGCUGCAGUGCGGCUUCCCCAGGCAGUAUUCUCCCUGUGGAAUAUCCCAUGGCCUGAGGCACAGAGCCCUCUCCCGGGAAGGGAGCUUGAACACAUCCAGAGUGGGAACUGAAGGGAGCCCAACAUCUCUUGCUUUCCAGGACUUAGGUGCUAAGCCCACAUUAGCUGUGCCUGCACUAAUAGAGCUGGGAGACUGAGUGCAGGAGAAGCGAUCAAGAUUGGAGUGUCAACAAAGGCACCAGAUGCCACUGAUGCCUCUUCCACACUUCAGUCCUCAGGCACCACAGCAGAACCAGGAACUCUCCUGACUCCAAGGUUUCCUAGUAAAGACAGAUUUGAAGAGGGACAGCCACUUCCCUAAGUGAUAAAAAUAAA